UGGUCAAGGCUGGGGUGCCGGAGCGGACCGAUGUCCGCUCCGGCUGAGAUCAUACCCAUAGAACCUGAUCUGGAUCGUGCCAGCGAAGGGAGCCCGCGUGAUCCUCCA
rnacentral:ncRNA from 2 species